AUUGAACGCUGGCGGCAUGCCUUACACAUGCAAGUCGAACGGCAGCACGGGAGCAAUCCUGGUGGCGAGUGGCGAACGGGUGAGUAAUAUAUCGGAACGUGCCCAGUAGUGGGGGAUAACUGCUCGAAAGAGCAGCUAAUACCGCAUACGACCUGAGGGUGAAAGGGGGGGAUCGCAAGACCUCUCGCUAUUGGAGCGGCCGAUAUCAGAUUAGCUAGUUGGUGGGGUAAAGGCCUACCAAGGCAACGAUCUGUAGUUGGUCUGAGAGGACGACCAGCCACACUGGGACUGAGACGCGGCACAGUCUCCUUCGGGAGGCGGAAGUGGUGAUUUUUUGACAAUGUGCGCAAGCCUGAUCCAGCAAUGCCGCGUGCAGGAAGAAGGCCUUCGGGUUGUAUACUGCUUUUGUCAGGGAAGAAAUCCUCUAGGUUAAUACCCUUGGGGGGAUGACGGUACCUGAAGAAUAGGCACCGGCUAACUACGUGCCAGCAGCCGCAGUAA
rnacentral:rRNA from 1 species